rnacentral:rRNA from 1 species
UCAGUUCGGAUUGUAGGCUGCAACCCGCCUACAUGAAGUUGGAAUCGCUAGUAAUCGCGAAUCAGAAUGUCGCGGUGAAUACGUUCCCGGGUCUUGUACACACCGCCCGUCACACCACGAGAGUUUACAACACCCGAAGUCAGUGGCCUAACCGCAAGGAGGGAGCUGCCUAAGGUGGGGUAGAUGAUUGGGGUGAAGUCGUAACAAGGUACC